rnacentral:rRNA from 1 species
UACGGAGGAUGCGAGCGUUAUCCGGAUUUAUUGGGUUUAAAGAGAGCGUAGGCGGGUUGUUAAGUCAGUUGUGAAAGUUUGCGGCUCAACCGUAAAAUUGCAGUUGAUACUGGCAUCCUUGAGUACAGUAGAGGUAGGCGGAAUUCGUGGUGUAGCGGUGAAAUGCUUAGAUAUCACGAAGAACUCCGAUUGCGAAGGCAGCCUGCUGGACUGUAACUGACGCUGAUGCUCGAAAGUGUGGGUAUCAAACAGG